rnacentral:tRNA from 1 species
UAGCUCAGUUGGAUAGAGCAACGGCCUUCUAAGCCGUAGGUCACAGGUUCGAAUCCUGU